rnacentral:ncRNA from 1 species
AUAAUUUUAUUUAAAUUAAGUAGUUUAAUAAAAUAAAAUUUUACAUAUAUAAUUUUUUGUAAAUAUAUAUAUUUUAAAUAAAUUAUAUUAUAUAAAUAAAUAAAAAAUAGUAGUAAUUAAUUUUAUUAUUUUAAUUUAAGUUAAAAUGUAGUUAUUAUUUUAUAUUAAUGAUUAAAUUUGUGCCAGCAAUCGCGGUUAUACAAAUAUUAUAAUUAAAUUUUUUUAAUUAAAGUUAAAAUAUAAAUUUAAUUUUUAAAAUAAAGAUAAAUUUUUAAGUGAAAUUUAAAAUUUUAUCAAUAUUUUUAAAAUAAGAUAAUUUUGAAGCUUAAAAAAUUUAAAUAAAAACUAGGAUUAGAUACCCUAUUAUUUAAAAAGUAAUAAAAAAUAAAAAUUAAGGUAGUAAAAAUUAAAUUUUUAAAACUUAAAAAAUUUGGCGGUAUUUUAUUCUGUUUAGAGGAAUUUGUUCUAUAAUCGAUAAUCCACGAAUAUUUUACUUUUUUUUGUUUUCAGUUUAUAUAUCGUUGUUAUCAAAAUAUUUUAAAAGAAUAAAAAAUUUUUAAAAUUUUAUAUUAAAAUUUAUGUCAAAUCAAGGUAUAAUUAAUGAAAAAGAAGAAAUGAAUUACAAUAAUUAUUAUUUAUAAAUGAAUAAAAAUUUAAAAUUAGUUAUUUGAAAGUGGAUUUAAAAGUAAAUUAAUUAAUAAAAAUUAAUUGAUUAAAGUUUUAAAAUAUGCACAUAUCGCCCGUCGCUUUCAUUAUUUUAAAAUGAGAUAAGUCGUAACAUAGUAGAUGUAUUGGAAAAUGUAUCUAGAAAUA